UACGGGGGGGGCAAGCGUUGUUCGGAAUUACUGGGCGUAAAGGGCUCGUAGGCGGCCAACUAAGUCAGACGUGAAAUCCCUCGGCUUAACCGGGGAACUGCGUCUGAUACUGGAUGGCUUGAGUUUGGGAGAGGGACGCGGAAUUCCAGGUGUAGCGGUGAAAUGCGUAGAUAUCUGGAGGAACACCGGUGGCGAAGGCGGCGUCCUGGACCGACACUGACACUGAGGAGCGAAAGCCAGGGGAGCAAACGGG
rnacentral:rRNA from 1 species